rnacentral:lncRNA from 1 species
CAAACCCCCUCCUCACGGCUUUCCCGCCUCCGCCCGCCGGGCAGCGCCCGCCGCGGCCCCACUCACGCGUGUCGUCCUCCGACGCCAGCUCGUCACCCAUGUCAUCUCCUCACGGGAGGGCGGGCACAGCCUCGCCGCCUCAUGGGCGGGCCGACUGCCAGGCUGCAUCGCCGCAGAGCGCCUCUUUCGCUGCUGUUCAAACUGUUGCUGGGACCUGCUACAGAGCCAAAAAUCUGGGAAUAUCCCAGCAAUGCUCACAAACAUCAUUUCUGUAGCCUCUUGCAGUCAGACAUAUGAAGCUUUCAGAAACCCUGGAAACCUGAGGAGACUCCGCAAGCCCACUCUGGAAGCUUGAGAAGAGAUCCAUCACUCUCCUCAAAGGCUGUAUUCAUCUGCUUGCAAAGCUUCCACAGAGGAGCAGCUUGUUAGAGGGACCUGUGGAGCUUGAAAAAUGUGCCAGUAAUAAUUCAGGCCCAGUUCUGAAGUCAAAUAUUUAGUUAAACAGGCUGUGUGAUGACUGGAUUAAACACAGUUGGCAUCUGAGCAAGCUUGUCGCUUCAUUUUUUUUGUCAAUGUCCAUCUCACAAGCCUAUAAUUCAGUUUUUCCUGUCUUCCCAGACUCUGCUUAUCCUGUGUAGCCUUUCAGACAACACAGAAUGAGGUAUUUCAGCAGAGCUGCUGCUUCUAGCUCAGAAAGCAGCCUGUACCACAAAAUGAUUUUCUCUGUCUUCAGACUUAGGAUGAAUCCAAUAUUUUGGAUUUGGGGUGAAAUCACAUGUUAGAGAAAUUGUUGUUUGUUUGUUUGUUUUUAAGUAAAAGUCUCAAAGAUGCCAGGAAAUGUCAGAGAGAGCAGUUAAACAAGUCUUGCCUGGCAAGAUGCCAUAUGGGCUUGACACAGAUAGUUCAAUCCAUGUUAACAGCUACUGGAAGUUGGAAUUGGUGAUUUGAACUUUCCUGUCCUGUCAGUGCCACUUUCCAAAGCUCAUAGGCCUUUAAAUCCCUUGAAAAGAUAAAUGGGCUUAAGCUUCUGUGUAGCUUUGAAAGUGAAGCUUACACUCAAUUAACACAGUCGGCAGGGUUGUUCCCGAUGUCCAGG